CUUCUGUAUUACCUAAAGAUAAUUACAUUUGAAAUUUAACAUAUUUGGCGGUAAAGAGAGACCUCAGAGAAACCUGCGAAUUAAUUGGAUGAUCCACCUUUAUACUUUCUUAGUAUGUUUGUUACCUGUAUGUCUGUUUAGGGUACUGUCAGAUCUAUAGCCUAAUUAAAUUAUUACUAAUCGUAAUUCAGGUCUAUAUAGGGAUUGUUACUAAGGUCUCUUGGGUUGCAUUUAAGAUAAUUGGUGGUAGUUUUAGUUUACUACUUAAUUCGGAUUUGAAAGUAAAUAUUUUUGUUUAUAUAUUGAAUUUCCUUCUCUUUAAGUACAAAUCCCGUCACCAUCUGAAUAGAGACACC
rnacentral:rRNA from 1 species